rnacentral:rRNA from 1 species
GGGAUAACGUUCGGAAACGGACGCUAAUACCGCAUACGUCCUACGGGAGAAAGCGGGGGAUCUUCGGACCUCGCGCCAUUAGAUGAGCCUAGGUCGGAUUAGCUAGUUGGUGAGGUAAUGGCUCACCAAGGCGACGAUCCGUAACUGGUCUGAGAGGAUGAUCAGUCACACUGGAACUGAGACACGGUCCAGACUCCUACGGGAGGCAGCAGUGGGGAAUAUUGGACAAUGGGCGCAAGCCUGAUCCAGCCAUGCCGCGUGUGUGAAGAAGGCCUUCGGGUUGUAAAGCACUUUCAGCGAGGAGGAAGAGUUGUGUGUUAAUAGUACACAGCUUUGACGUUACUCGCAGAAGAAGCACCGGCUAACUACGUGCCAGCAGCGCGGUAAUA